rnacentral:rRNA from 1 species
UGAGGAAUAUUGGUCAAUGGACGCAAGUCUGAACCAGCCAAGUAGCGUGCAGGAUGACGGCCCUAUGGGUUGUAAACUGCUUUUAUAUGGGGAUAAAGUGGGGAACGUGUUCCCUUUUGCAGGUACCAUAUGAAUAAGGACCGGCUAAUUCCGUGCCAGCAGCCGCGGUAAAACGGAAGGUUCGGGCGUUAUCCGGAUUUAUUGGGUUUAAAGGGAGCGUAGGCCGUUUGGUAAGCGUGUUGUGAAAUGUAGGAGCUCAACUUCUAGAUUGCAGCGCGAACUGUCAGACUUGAGUGCGCACAACGUAGGCGGAAUUCAUGGUGUAGCGGUGAAAUGCUUAGAUAUCAUGAAGAACUCCGAUUGCGAAGGCAGCUUACGGGAGCGCAACUGACGCUGAAGCUCGAAGGUGCGGGUAUCGAACAGG